UACGUAGGGGGCAAGCGUUGUCCGGAAUCAUUGGGCGUAAAGCGCGUGUAGGCGGCCCCGGUAAGUCCGCUGUGAAAGUCGGGGGCUCAACCCUCGAAUGCCGGUGGAUACUGUCGGGCUAGAGUGCGGGAGAGGCGAGUGGAAUUCCUGGUGUAGCAGUGAAAUGCGCAGAUAUCAGGAGGAACACCAAUUGCGAAGGCAGCUCGCUGGAACGUAACUGACGCUGAGACGCGAAAGCGUGGGGAGCAAACAGG
rnacentral:rRNA from 1 species